rnacentral:rRNA from 1 species
GAGUUUGAUCAUGGCUCAGAACGAACGCUGGCGGCAUGCCUAACACAUGCAAGUCGAACGAAGGCUUCGGCCUUAGUGGCGCACGGGUGAGUAACGCGUGGGAAUCUGCCUAUCAGUGGGGAAUAACGACGGGAAACUGUCGCUAAUACCGCAUACGCCCUUCGGGGGAAAGAUUUAUCGCUGAUAGAUGAGCCCGCGUACGAUUAGCUAGUUGGUGAGGUAAUGGCUCACCAAGGCUACGAUCGUUAGCUGGUCUGAGAGGAUGAUCAGCCACACUGGGACUGAGACACGGCCCAGACUCCUACGGGAGGCAGCAGUGGGGAAUAUUGGACAAUGGGCGAAAGCCUGAUCCAGCAAUGCCGCGUGAGUGAUGAAGGCCUUAGGGUUGUAAAGCUCUUUCGGGUGGGACGAUGAUGACGGUACCACCAGAAGAAGCCCCGGCUAACUUCGUGCCAGCAGCCGCGGUAAUACG